AGCAGCCGCGGUAAUUCCAGCUCCAAUAGCGUAUAUUAAAGUUGUUGCAGUUAAAAAGCUCGUAGUUGAAUUUCGGGAUCAAUUUAUCGGUCGUGCCUAUGGUAUGAACUGGUACAAUUGGUUUCUCCCUUCUGACGAAGCAUGAUGUCAUUAAUUUGGUGUCGUGGGGAAUCAGGACUGUUACUUUGAAAAAAUUAGAGUGUUUAAAGCAAGCAUUAGCUUGAAUACAUUAGCACGGAAUAAUGAAAUAGGACGUUUGAUCCUAUUUCGUUGGUUUCUAGGAUCGACGUAAUGAUUAAUAGGGAUAGUUGGGGGCAUUAGUAUUCAAUUGUCAGAGGUGAAAUUCUUGGAUUUAUUGGAGACUAACUACUGCGAAAGCAUUUGCCAAGGAUGUUUUCAUUAAUCAAGAACGAAAGUUAGGGGAUCGAAGACGAUCAGAUACCGUCGUAGUCUUAACCAUAAACUAUGCCGACUAGGGAUCGGAUGAUGUUAAUUUUUUAAUGACUCA
rnacentral:rRNA from 1 species